CUCAGGCUCUGACUUUGGAUCUAAAGAAGUGUCAAGAAUGUGCGGGCAGUGGCGCUGCAUGAAUCUAGCGGGUCUGGGCGAUGCUCUCUCCGGCUCUACCCAGUAGCAAUUGCGAGGACUUCUCAUGAAGUACAGACUCCUCCACCUCCAGGAAAAAGAGACAAAGUCCACUGAGAAGGACCUGAGGGAUGCCUGUGACCCCGCCCCUGAGGAGCUGGAACAAUUUUAUUCAUGAGAUCCGCAGAGUGCCAACGCCCCCACCCCAGAAAGCUUAAGGGACUCUGCAUUAGAGAAGAGGGUGAGAUUGGAGGGGCCCCUGACUCCAAAUCUCCUGAUCCCCCCCCCCACAAAGAGAUGCUGAAAAAAAGUGCUGGACAAUCCAUUCCCUCCUGGGACCAGACAGGAAGCCAGAGGCACCGUGGAUGUCAAAUUCCAGCAAAGAAACAAUUACAGCAAAAUCUCCAUGUCACAUUUUUAAGCUUACACAAUGGCUCAAAUAGAACCAGCAUCAAAAAUCCCGAAUUCCUGGUUCAGGUGGGAUCACUGAAGUCUGCUGUUAGGCUUGGCAGGACCUGCAGGUAGAAAGAAUGGCAUCUCUAUUUAGAGCUGCAGCCCAGUAGCCCCUGCUUCUUGGGCUCUUUGAAAAGACCCUCUCCCUUCAGCAGUGCACAGUGAGGCCAUUUCUGGGGAAGAAAUGUAGACUCUCCUUGGGGGAGGUUUUUAUACUUAGUUACUGACUUUGCAUUCGUUGACUUCAUCUU